rnacentral:misc_RNA from 1 species
GAUGAAGAACGCAGCGAAAUGCGAUACUUGGUGUGAAUUGCAGAAUCCCGUGAACCAUCGAGUCUUUGAACGCAAGUUGCGCCCGAAGCCAUUAGGCCGAGGGCACGCCUGCCUGGGCGUCACACGUCGUUGCCCCCCCAUCUACUCCUUCGGGAUUGCGGGGGGCGGAUGAUGGCCUCCCGUGCGCCUCGUCGCGCGGUUGGCAUAAAUACCAAGUCCUCGGCGACGCACGCCACGACAAUCGGUGGUUGCGAAACCUCGGUUGCCCGUCGUGUGCGGUCGUCGCGCAUCGAGGGCUCGAAAAAAUUGCCGGGCUCCGGCUCGGCUUUCAACGCGACCCCAUGUCAGGCGGGGUUACCCGCUGAAUUUAAGCAUAUCAAUAAGCGGAGGA